rnacentral:rRNA from 1 species
AACGAACGCUGGCGGCAUGCCUAACACAUGCAAGUCGAACGAGAUCUUCGGAUCUAGUGGCGCACGGGUGCGUAACGCGUGGGAAUCUGCCCUUGGGUGCGGAAUAACUCAGAGAAAUUUGUGCUAAUACCGUAUAAUGUCUUCGGACCAAAGAUUUAUCGCCCAGGGAUGAGCCCGCGUAGGAUUAGCUAGUUGGUGAGGUAAAAGCUCACCAAGGCGACGAUCCUUAGCUGGUCUGAGAGGAUGAUCAGCCAUACUGGGACUGAGACACGGCCCAGACUCCUACGGGAGGCAGCAGUGGGGAAUAUUGGACAAUGGGCGAAAGCCUGAUCCAGCAAUGCCGCGUGAGUGAUGAAGGCCCUAGGGUUGUAAAGCUCUUUUACCCGGGAUGAUAAUGACAGUACCGGGAGAAUAAGCUCCGGCUAACUUCGUG